UGGGGAAUUUUCCGCAAUGGGCGAAAGCCUGACGGAGUGACGCCGCGUGGGGGACGAAGGCCUUCGGGUCGUAAACCCCUGUCAGAGGGAAAGAAGGGUGUCGGCGUGAAUAGCGCAGGCAUCUGACGGUACCUUCAGAGGAAGCCCCGGCCAACUCUGUGCCAGCAGCCGCGGUAAGACAGAGGGGGCAAGCGUUGCUCGGAAUCACUGGGCGUAAAGGGCGCGUAGGCGGGAUGGCAAGUCGGUCGUGAAAUCCUUCGGCUCAACCGAAGAACGUCGGCCGAUACUGCCGUUCUUGAGGGAUGCAGAGGAGAUUGGAAUUCCCGGUGUAGCGGUGAAAUGUGUAGAGAUCGGGAGGAACACCGGUGGCGAAGGCGGGUCUCUGGGCAUCUCCUGACGCUGAGGCGCGAAAGCGUGGGGAGCAAACG
rnacentral:rRNA from 1 species